AUCCUGAGUAGAGUGGCGCACGGGUGAGUAACACGUAGAUAAUCUACCUUCAAGCCUGGGAUAACUAUUCGAAAGGAUGGCUAAUACCGGAUGAAGUGCAUUGGCAUAAGUUGAUGUAUGAAAGAUUGCCUCUUCUUGAAAGCAAUUGUUUGGAGAUGAGUCUGCGGACCAUUAGUUUGUUGGUGGGGUAAAGGCCUACCAAGACUGCGAUGGUUAGCUGGUCUGAGAGGAUGAUCAGCCACACUGGAACUGGAACACGGUCCAGACUCCUACGGGAGGCAGCAGUGAGGAAUUUUGCGCAAUGGGGGAAACCCUGACGCAGCAACGCCGCGUGAGUGAAGAAGGCCCUUGGGUCGUAAAGCUCUGUCGACAGGGAAGAAAUUGAUUCAUAUUAAUAGUAUGUUUCAUUGACGGUACCUGUAGAGGAAGCACCGGCUAACUCCGUGCCAGCAGCCGCGGUAAUACGGGGGGUGCAAGCGUUAUUCGGAAUUAUUGGGCGUAAAGGGCGCGUAGGCGGUCUUGUCGGUCAGAUGUGAAAGCCCGGGGCUCAACCCUGGAAGUGCAUUUGAAACAGCAAGACUUGAAUACUGGAGAGGAGAGCGGAAUUCCUGGUGUAGAGGUGAAAUUCGUAGAUAUCAGGAGGAACACCGAUGGCGAAGGCAGCUCUCUGGACAGAUAUUGACGCUGAGGCGCGAAGGUGUGGGUAGCGAACGGGAUUAGAUACCCCGGUAGUCCACACAGUAAACGUUGUUCACUCGGUGUACCGGAUAUUAAA
rnacentral:rRNA from 1 species